CACUUACACAGGCAUGGCAAAGCAACUGAACUCCACUACACAUGUCAUCUUCUGCUAACUCACUCCGAGCUCAUUCAGCCAUAUCUUGACUGACCAGGAUCUACAAUGAGUUUAGAAAGUUUUUCUGCAUUAUUUCCUCCUGCUGAUGGUCACAAAUAUGGCGGCUGCGAGGAAAAUGUGACGUCACUGAAACAGAUGCCUCCAUUAAUCUUACUGAUAUUCCUGGGAGUCCACAGGCCGAAUAUAUGUGAUUUCCUGAGGGUCUAGAUGUGAGACUUUGAAGUGGAUCUCUGGCAUCGAACAUGAUGGGAAGGAGAGAAGGGGGCAUGGUGGGUGUGGAGAAGGUUCCAGCAGGCCAUGGAAGCUGUCAGAUGCCAGUAGGAGUGACUGAUGAUCGGGGUUGGUGUCCGAUUCCAACACUGGUCCCUGAUCUGUGUAAUCAGAACCUGUGAAAUGGCGGGAUUAGCCAGGUCAGACAGGGUCAGGAGAGAUGGAUGUUGAACUUCCCUCUCAGCUGUGCUUAGACACUCUGAGGCAGAGGAGUUUUACAUAAUCAGCGGGUGGUCUCCGGGGUGCGGGAGUAGAGCUGUUCUAACACACAUACACAGUCUCGCACUCCACACUUCCUCAAAUGCACCCCAUGCUGCUUUCGCCAGAGGAAGAGACCCCACUGUGUAUAGCUCUACUCCACAGAAUUAAUGAAGGAAUGUGGAAUUGUUCUAGUUUUGAAUAACAGAGAGCACUGUGCUUGGUGCUGCUCAAAAGGAGGAGGACAUGGUGUCUGUGUUCUGUGCAAACAAAUGUAGAUCACUAUAUUUGAUGAUUUUAGGUUUUCUGUGUAUUUUUAUACACCUUUUAGUGGAAAUGCAAUUUAUUCUCUUCCUGUGAUUGGCCCAUCACAUUAAAUCACAGAUGCCCUAAUAAAACGUCUUUCCCUUCACUCCUUUAUAAAUAGGGAAUUUAAGCAACAGCUGUGGACGCGACGAUCCGAAGUAAACAGAUCAACCGCCAUUGCCAAGAAACGUAAAGGUCAUUAAGCAACAACACAGAGGACGGCGGACCAGCUCAUUUAAUCAUUCAUUUCACAAUUAUGAAAAUGUCAUUUAAAAAAGCAAGA